GUCGGCGACCAUACCACGUUGAAAGCACCGGUUCUCGUUCGAUCACCAAAUUUAAGCAACGUUGGGCCCAUUUAAUACUUGCAUGGGUGACCGACUGGGAAUACCGGAUGUUGCCGACU
rnacentral:rRNA from 1 species